CCCAAGGAAACAGGUGUAUAUAUUUUACACCUGCUUUGCACGAAAGUGUUGUAUAUAUAUAUUAUUGGAGGGCACCUUUUAUAUUGUACAAGGGGGUUGGAGUGUUCAACCAUUUUUGCAUUUAUAAAUCUAUCCGAUGUACAAUGUAGCACUGAAAAAAAAAUCAUGCAAGUGAAAACGAAAUAUAAAUUUAGAAGAACAAAGUAUAGCAUUCAAAAGAUGUUGCUCAAAUUUUAAAGUCAGUAACGAUUAUGUCCAAGAAGGGUGUACUACGGAAUCAAAAAUAAAUUUUAUUAGGUCGUUAGUUUUCUCGUUUGAAUUGUUUUACUA
rnacentral:lncRNA from 1 species